rnacentral:rRNA from 1 species
AUUGAACGCUGGCGGCAGGCCUAACACAUGCAAGUCGAACGAGUGGCGGACGGGUGAGUAAUGUCUGGGAAACUGCCUGAUGGAGGGGGAUAACUACUGGAAACGGUAGCUAAUACCGCAUACCAUCAGAUGUGCCCAGAUGGGAUUAGCUAGUUGGUGGGGUAACGGCUCACCAAGGCGACGAUCCCUAGCUGGUCUGAGAGGAUGACCAGCCACAUGGGAACGGAGACGCGGUCCAGACUCCUACGGGAGGCAGCAGAGGGGAAUAGGGCACAAUGGGCGCAAGCCUGAUGCAGCCAUGCCGCGUGUAGGAAGAAGGCCUUGGGGUUGUAAAGUACUUUCAGCGGGGAGGCGGUACCCGCAGAAGAAGCACCGGCUAACUCCGUGCCAGCCGCCGCGGUAAUAC